AAAUUAAAGCAUUGAUCUGACAAGAUUAGAAGAUUGAAGUAAGCGAGAGGAAUGCUUUCUCUUUGUGCACAACAGAGAGCGUCCUCGGCUCUCCCCCGUCCUCGCGACGCAGCUUAUGACCUCCCCGAUUGUGACGGAGACCAGAUUCAUCCUGAGAGUCCGAGUCGUCCGUACUGACCCGG